rnacentral:rRNA from 1 species
AUACAUGCAAGUCGAACGAGUUCUCGUUGAUGAUCGGUGCUUGCACCGAGAUUCAACAUGGAACGAGUGGCGGACGGGUGAGUAACACGUGGGUAACCUGCCCUUAAGUGGGGGAUAACAUUUGGAAACAGAUGCUAAUACCGCAUAGAUCCAAGAACCGCAUGGUUCUUGGCUGAAAGAUGGCGUAAGCUAUCGCUUUUGGAUGGACCCGCGGCGUAUUAGCUAGUUGGUGAGGUAAUGGCUCACCAAGGCGAUGAUACGUAGCCGAACUGAGAGGUUGAUCGGCCACAUUGGGACUGAGACACGGCCCAAACUCCUACGGGAGGCAGCAGUAGGGAAUCUUCCACAAUGGACGCAAGUCUGAUGGAGCAACGCCGCGUGAGUGAAGAAGGCUUUCGGGUCGUAAAACUCUGUUGUUGGAGAAGAAUGGUCGGCAGAGUAACUGUUGUCGGCGUGACGGUAUCCAACCAGAAAGCCACGGCUAACUACGUGCCAGCAGCCGCGGUAAUACGUAGGUGGCAAGCGUUAUCCGGAUUUAUUGGGCGUAAAGCGAGCGCAGGCGGUUUUUUAAGUCUGAUGUGAAAGCCCUCGGCUUAACCGAGGAAGCGCAUCGGAAACUGGGAAACUUGAGUGCAGAAGAGGACAGUGGAACUCCAUGUGUAGCGGUGAAAUGCGUAGAUAUAUGGAAGAACACCAGUGGCGAAGGCGGCUGUCUGGUCUGUAACUGACGCUGAGGCUCGAAAGCAUGGGUAGCGAACAGGAUUA